AUUGAACGCUGGCGGCAGGCCUAACACAUGCAAGUCGAACGGAGUGGCGGACGGGUGAGUAAUGUCUGGGAAACUGCCUGAUCGAGGGGGAUAACGACCGGAAACGGGCGCUAAUACCGCAUACUAUCUGAUGAGCCUAGGUCGGAUUAGCUAGUUGGUGGGGUAAAGGCUCACCAAGGCGACGAGCCCUAACUGGUCUGAGAGGAUGAUCAGCCACACUGGAACUGAGACACGGUCCAGACUCCUACGGGAGGCAGCAGUGGGGAAUAUUGGACAAUGGGCGAAAGCCUGAUGCAGCCAUGCCGCGUGUGUGAAGAAGGCCUUCGGAUUGUAAAGUACUUUAAGUUGGGAGGCGUUACCAGCAGAAUAAGCACCGGCUAACUCCGUGCCAGCAGCCGCGGUAAUUC
rnacentral:rRNA from 1 species